AGCCCGUGUGGUGAUUUCACGCCAAACUGCAAAUUUGGAGAAGCUCCCCAUAGGAGCCGGGGCUU
rnacentral:tRNA from 1 species